rnacentral:lncRNA from 1 species
CUCAUAACCUAAUCGGGUCAAAUCUAAUUGAAUCUAAUUUAAUUAAAUUUUAUUUAAUCUUUUUUACUCAAUCAAAUUAAGCUAAUCAGUAAUUUAAUUACUAAUUAAUUCUUUAUUAAUUUACUAAUACUUGAUGAAUUAAUUUAUUAUAACUUUUGUAUAAGGUUAACUAUCAAUUGAAUUGAUGAUUAAGCCCUUGAAUGAUUCUCAGUCGU